rnacentral:lncRNA from 1 species
UCUUUUCUACUGUUUUGGUUCAACAUUGAGUACCUAACUCACAAAGGUACCAUAAUUUAAAUUUGAAGCAUGACUCCACACCAUGAACCCAGCCUGACCCAGAAGUCAAUUGUCACACAAAUUUUCACCCUCUGCCAAUUUCCAAUGUUCUCGCAGACCCCCAUGUCAAUGACACUCCUCUACGCAUAGCUAGGUCGGAGACCAGAUGGAGCUCCCCAUAGGGUUGACAGAGGAUAGUUUCCACUCUCGCCAUCAGAGAGUUCUUUCCAUUAACUACUAAAAAUGCAUUCCAAUAUGAGCUUUGUUAAACUCACUAAAGCUACAGAAGCACAGUCCAUGAGCACAUAUAUCCGUGCAGAAUGAUCCCCUAAAUUUAUAGCAAUGAUCAUCACAAUCUAAUACAAUGAAAUUGUCACCAACAAUUGCUCCCUUGGCGGCCUGAAACAAAAUUCAGAAUGUGAGUAUUAUUAUCCAUCGCCAUUACAAAUUAGUACAUAACAUAUGUAGUCAGCCUCAUCCUAUUUCAUGAAACAACCUCAGACAUCCAUUGUUAUUAACAUUGUUGUAAAGGAAGUAAAAACUAUUUAAUACUAAGCGUAAGGGUAAACUUUUUUGGACUUUAACAGAAGAUCGAAUUACCAACACACACUUUUAUAAGCUUUAAAGACUGACACUGAAAUUUAUGGUAAGUCACUGAAAAGGGAAAAGGAACAACAUAUGGUUAGGAAGUCCUACUUAACAACACAUACUAAAAGUCAUUCUAUUUCUAGUUACGUUGAAAAAUUGCCAACAAGACCAGUGAAUUAUACAACAGCUGCUCCCUCACAUUGCAACAAGUGUAAUGAAAAAUUUUUAACCUUCACUAAACAAAUUCAUACUUGCGAUGCAGACAUUGAACCAACAUUCAUACUUGCCCAUACCAACUCUCUUUAAUGUCAGUUGAGCCUCAUUGAUUCAACAUCCAUACUUGCCCGCCUCCAAGUUAGCAAACAAUUCCAAACAUAGUCAAAACAUAAAUAUUUUACAGAUGUUUCGCCCAACACCUGAUACCUUUGUUGAACAAAGCAAAAAUGUAAAAACUAGAUGCCUCUCCAUUUCCUUCUAAAUACCAUCUCUCUGCACAUGACCUCUCCAUACUGUCAACCUCUCCAUUCCCUUUAUUAAAAAUACAUAUGUUCAUUACAACCUAAGGGAUUUAAACACCAUUGUGAUAUUGAAUACUCAAAUCCCUUAUUUUUAGCAACUAACCGGUUCCAAGAUGUACUUAUUACCCUUUCAAACACAUCUUCCAGCCCCAGAGCUUUACCUUCAAGGCUUUAAAUACCAUUAAGUUUCUGGCCUUGUAAAUGACACCAUGCACAGGCAAACAAUUAUUGAAAGUUACCAUUUUUCAUACUAUAAAAACCAAAUCAAAAGAGGCAAAAAUUAAAUUGAUAUCCCACUUACAAGCAUAGCAAUGUUGUUCUACCUGCAAAGACACUUCGACUAUCAAAUCAAAUUAGUUAUGAAUUUAAAAUGAUUUUGGUAAAAAAAAUUACAUACCUACCUGAGAUGUUCUCCUUCUCCCCCCAACAGAUCAUCAUAUCACAAUUUCAAACAAAUAAAAUAAAAUAACAAUGGAAAGGAAGAAAUAACUCACCAUUUUCCCUCACCUAUUUCCAUAUAGAAAGCAUCAUCUAUAUAUUAUGUCAAAAAAUAACAAUCGAAUCUUACCCUUUUUCCUUACCCAUUUUGUUAUUAUAUCUCAACACUCGUUGCUACAUUGAGAAGCUCCUCACUAGCAUAAUGCAGAAAUCUUGAAAAGAUGCUAACAGCCUGACGUAAGGCACCUUAAUUAAGCAUCCAACUAAGCGUCGUCCAUAUUCUUCUUCAACUCUUCUUAGACGUACUUUUCUCGUAUAGCAAGAAUCGAGCCAUUUCCAUCAGGGUCCUAUUUUCUUCCUUUUACUCACACUAUUCUGUUGCAAUGAUAUUUUGAAGCCAGAACAUAGGUAAGCAAUGUAUCCAUUGAGAACUUCAAUAACGAUAACUAGAACUGUUUCAGAUAUGAUUACCCUCUCAGCCUCUUAUAGUAUCUUCUGCUCCUUUCUGUUUUUAGUUUUCAAAAGAAAGUGAGUAACAAANN